UAUCAGUCAUGCAUAGCAUAUCAAUAAGCGGAGGAAAAGAAACUAACAAGGAUUCCCUUAGUAACGGCGAGUGAAGCGGGAAGAGCUCAAAUUUGAAAUCUUCAAGGUUUUACCUUGACGAAUUGUAGUUUAAAGAAGUGUUUUCUGUUGAAGUUUUGGUAAAAGUUCUUUGGAAUAGGACAUCAUAGAGGGUGAGAAUCCCGUAUUUGACCAUUACUUUCAGCUUUGUGAUACACUUUCAAAGAGUCGGAUUGUUUGGGAAUGCAGUCCAAAAUGGGUGGUAAAUUUCAUCUAAAGCUAAAUAUUGGCGAGAGACCGAUAGCGAACAAGUACCGUGAGGGAAAGAUGAAAAGAACUUUGAAAAGAGAGUUAAACAAUACGUGAAAUUGUCAAAAGGGAAGCGUUUGACACCAGUGUUGUUUUCUCGAAAAUCAAUUAAAAAGAGUUGGAUUUUGUGUUGUAUUGACUUUAUCAGCUUUCUUCACUCUUUUCCAGCUUUUUUUAAUGCACUUUUCGUUUAACAAGUCAACAUCAGUUUCUUUCGUUGUAAAAAGGUCAUUGGAAGGUGGCUUUCUCUUCGGAGAAAGUGUUUAUAGCCUUUGACUCAUGCAAUCGGAGAGACUGAGGUCUGCAGCGUAGAUCCUUCGGGGUUAGAUACAUUUGUGCUAAGUUAUAGCCUUUCAUAGACAACUUGUUGACUAUGUUUAGUCUUGUAGCUUACUCGCUUAUGCUAUUUUACCUACGCUUAGGAUGUUGAACUCUAUCACACACAG
rnacentral:rRNA from 1 species